GAUGAACGCUGGCGGCGUGCCUAAUACAUGCAAGUCGAGCGGACGGACGAGAAGCUUGCUUCUCUGAGGGUAGCGGCGGACGGGUGGGUAACAAGAGGAUAAUCUACCUAUAAGACUUGGAGGACUUCGGGAAGCCGGAGCUAAUACCGGAUAAUAUUUUGAACCGCAUGGUUCAUGAGUGAAAGACGGUCUUUCUGUCACUUAUAGAUGGAUCCGCGCUGCAUUAGCUAGUUGGUAAGGUAACGGCGUACCAAGGCAGCGAUGCAUAGCCGACCUGAGAGGGUGAUCGGCCACAAUGGAACUGAGACACGGUCCAGAAUCCUACGAGAGGCAGCAGUAGGGAAUCUUCCGGCAUGGGCGAAAGACUGACGGAGCAACGACGCGUGAGUGAUGAAGGUCUUCGGAUCGUAAAACUCUGUUAUUAGGGAAGAACAUAUGUGUAAGUAACUGUGCACAUCUUGACGGUACCUAAUCAGAAAGCCACGGCUAACUACGUG
rnacentral:rRNA from 1 species